UACGUAGGGUGCGAGCGUUAAUCGGAAUUACUGGGCGUAAAGCGUGCGCAGGCGGUUUUGUAAGCCAGAUGUGAAAUCCCCGGGCUUAACCUGGGAACUGCAUUUGGGACUGCAAGGCUGGAGUACGGCAGAGGGAGGUGGAAUUCCACGUGUAGCAGUGAAAUGCGUAGAGAUGUGGAGGGACACCGAUGGCGAAGGCAGCCUCCUGGGCUAGUACUGACGCUCAUGCACGAAAGCGUGGGGAGCAAACAGG
rnacentral:rRNA from 1 species